AACGUAGGAGACAAACGUUAUCCGGAGUUACUGGGCGUAAAGGGCGUGUAGGUGGUUUUGUAAGUCUGGCGUGAAAUUUUUCGGCUUAACCGGGAAAGGUCGUCGGAUACUGCAAGGCUAGAGGACGGUAGAGGCGUGUGGAAUUCCGGGUGUAGUGGUGAAAUGCGUAGAGAUCCGAAGGAACACCAGUGGCGAAGGCGGCAUCCUGGACCAACACUGACACUGAGGAGCGAAAGCCAGGGGAGCAAACGGG
rnacentral:rRNA from 1 species